ensembl:lncRNA
AAUAAUAAAUUGUUUAAGAAAAAAUCAAUGCAAUUAUAAAAUACUGAUUAUUUAUAAAUAUUGAUCAGUAACAGAUAAAAUGGAAUGUUAAAAAUAAUAUAAUGAAAUGUAAUGACAUAAAAAAUCUGAUAUAUAUAUAUAUAUAUAUAUAUAUAUAUAUAAUAAAAAAUUCAAUGAAACAAUGAAAUAAUAAUUUUAGCAUAAUUAUUAAAAUAUGUAAUAAUUAAUAUAAAAUACAAAAUAUGUCAUUGUAUUAAGACCACUAUAAGUAAAGCAGAAUGAAAAUAAAUGCAAAAAAAUAAAAAAUCAAAUGACAAACUAGUGACUGUAUAAGCCACGAUGCUGUGAAGUCGUGUCAUGACUCGCUCCGUGUUUCAGGUCAGCAAGUGACUCUUUCACAGCGCGCGCUCUGAUUAAUGACUGGGAACUGUCCUAAGUGCGCUUUUACUCCUCCAGACUGCGAAAGACCCUCUGAACUCCCUGCUGGAAACGCAAAUCCCCGCAGCGCGUGUGUAUGAGCGGAUCUCACGCAAAUGACGCACGGCUGCGUGACGGCGACAGAAAUGUGCGCAAACUCUACAGACUGCGUGGGUGUCCUGCUCCUUCUGCUCCAGCUGCAGUUCAGUCAGACCAAACCCAUCGACUUCAUCUGUGACCCAGAGGUGAGGAGACGCAUGGAUGUGACGGAGACGCUGGAGCCGCUCAUGACGCACUGCUUGGACCAGCUGCCCUCGGACGUCCUGCAGCCGUGUGUCCGGAUAAACAUGGGAGCGUGGAAACAGACAUCAGUGAGUACAGCUCCUUCAUCUAACAAGAAAAAUCAAACCAGAAGAAAAACAUUGACUGAAAUAAAGUAA